rnacentral:rRNA from 1 species
GACGAACGCUGGCGGCGUGCUUAACACAUGCAAGUCGAACGGAAAGGCCCUGCUUUUGUGGGGUGCUCGAGUGGCGAACGGGUGAGUAACACGUGAGUAACCUGCCCUUGACUUUGGGAUAACUUCAGGAAACUGGGGCUAAUACCGGAUAGGAGCUCCUGCAGCAUGGGGGGGGUUGGAAAGUUUCGGCGGUUGGGGAUGGACUCGCGGCUUAUCAGCUUGUUGGUGGGGUAGUGGCUUACCAAGGCUUUGACGGGUAGCCGGCCUGAGAGGGUGACCGGCCACAUUGGGACUGAGAUACGGCCCAGACUCCUACGGGAGGCAGCAGUGGGGAAUAUUGCACAAUGGGCGGAAGCCUGAUGCAGCAACGCCGCGUGCGGGAUGACGGCCUUCGGGUUGUAAACCGCUUUCGCCUGUGACGAAGCGUGAGUGACGGUAAUGGGUAAAGAAGCACCGGCUAACUACGUG